rnacentral:rRNA from 1 species
GUGGCGGACGGGUGAGUAAUGUCUGGGAAACUGCCUGAUGGAGGGGGAUAACUACUGGAAACGGUAGCUAAUACCGCAUAACGUCGCAAGACCAAAGAGGGGGACCUUCGGGCCUCUUGCCAUCGGAUGUGCCCAGAUGGGAUUAGCUAGUAGGUGGGGUAACGGCUCACCUAGGCGACGAUCCCUAGCUGGUCUGAGAGGAUGACCAGCCACACUGGAACUGAGACACGGUCCAGACUCCUACGGGAGGCAGCAUG